CGAAAGCCUGACGGAGCAAUACCGCGUGAGGGAGGAAGGCUCUUGGGUUGUAAACCUCUUUUCUCAGGGAAGAAGAUCUGACGGUACCUGAGGAAUAAGCAUCGGCUAACUCCGUGCCAGCAGCCGCGGUAAUACGGAGGAUGCAAGCGUUAUCCGGAAUUAUUGGGCGUAAAGCGUCCGCAGGUGGUUUUUCAAGUCCGCUGUUAAAGACUGGAGCUCAACUCCGGAAAGGCAGUGGAAACUGGAAGACUAGAGUUCGGUAGGGGUAGCGGGAAUUCCCAGUGUAGCGGUGAAAUGCGUAGAGAUUGGGAAGAACAUCGGUGGCGAAAGCGCGCUACUGGACCGAGACUGACACUCAGGGACGAAAACUAGGGGAGCGAAAGGGAUUAGAUACCCCUGUAGUCCUAGCUGUAAACGAUG
rnacentral:rRNA from 1 species